rnacentral:lncRNA from 1 species
GUCCCAUCACAUAGAGCUGUAUGGCAUGUAGUCGGUUGGGGGAGGCUACGUGAUGUAGGUUUACCCAGUGCAUGGGUUACAAGUAAAAUGAUAGCAUGGGAUGGUGUACCUUGAUUUGACUUAUGCGAACAAGAAGCCAUAAUUAGUGUACUUUGAUCUGCACUUUAGAUGGAGGGCCAUUGUUCGGCGUGCCAAAGUCUGAGAGCUGGUGGACAUCCUUGUUGCUAGAUGGUGUCAGUCAUGAGGAUUGGCCCUUUCAUUAACUGAUAGUGGUAGGGAUCAGUGAUCAAGGGGGGAUGCCAGAAAAUCUCCUCAAAAUGCACCAUCUGAAAUCAGCGAG